GUGAGGAAUAUUGGACAAUGGGCGCAAGCCUGAUCCAGCCAUGCCGCGUGCAGGAAGACGCAUCUAUGGUGUGUAAACUGCUUUUGUACAGGAAGAAACACUCCCUCGUGAGGGAGCUUGACGGUACCGUAAGAAUAAGGAUCGGCUAACUCCGUGCCAGCAGCCGCGGUAAUACGGAGGAUCCAAGCGUUAUCCGGAAUCAUUGGGUUUAAAGGGUCCGUAGGCGGUUUAAUAAGUCAGUGGUGAAAGCCCAUCGCUCAACGAUGGAACGGCCAUUGAUACUGUUAGACUUGAAUUACAAGGAAGUAACUUGAAUAUGUAGUGUAGCGGUGAAAUGCUUAGAUAUUACAUGGAAUACCAAUUGCGAAGGCAGGUUACUACUUGUGGAUUGACGCUGAUGGACGAAAGCGUGGGGAGCGAACAGGAUUAGAUACCCGGGUAGUCC
rnacentral:rRNA from 1 species